CAGCCUCACAGCUCGUGCACUGGAGAGAACCGAAGAAAUCUGCAGCGGCGUUCGGCCUCUCACUGCUGGUUCUUCUCUCCUUGGCAACACUGUCAGUCAUCAGCGUGGUGUCCUAUUUGCUCCUGGCGUGCCUCUGUGUCACAAUCACCUUCAGGGUUUAUAAAUCCGUGAUCCAGGCCGUCCAGAAGUCCGAUGAAGGUCAUCCAUUCAGGUCUCUGUUGGAGAGGGACAUUUCCGUGUCCUCAGAGUCAGUUCGGCAGCUCGCUGACCAGUUUCUGAUCCACUUGAACUGGUUCAGUAAUCAAACAAGGAGGCUGUUACUGGUGGAAGACCUGGUCGACUCCCUGAAGCUGGCAGCCGUCACCUGGGUGAUGACGUACGUUGGUGCCGUGUUCAAUGGCGUCACCAUCUUGAUCCUUGCUGACAUCAUUUUCUUCACUACACCGUUGAUCUACCAGAAGAAGAAGGCUCAGAUCGAUCGUCACGUUGAGGCUGUUCGGCUCAAACUGGAGGAAACUCUGCAGAGGUGAGGUCACGGGUAAUCAGGUGUUCAUCAUGUUUGGCCUCACCGAAGGUCAACUCUGAUCUAAAUGCCUCACUGAGGUCAGAGGUAACUGCCGUCUGUCUCACCUGUGCAUAUGCUGACCUCAGAUCUAAACUCAGUGUCUGUCUUAAUUGAACCAGGUGAGCUCUGUUCUACCUUUAUGAAGAGUCGGACUGAACUGAGCAUGCUCAGUGUGUUCAUACUGUCUGUUCCUAAUGUGCUUGUCACCUGUCUAUAGUUAAAGUCCACAGUCGGGUUGCUGAUUGAUCAUCCAUGUUCAGUUUCCACGUUAACACAGAUGAGCCCACCUCUAAUCUGCAGGUGUUCACAUUAUUCUGUCCAGACAAGCAGCUGACAAGCGUCCUGUGUCUGUUUUCAGUCUGCAGGAUAAGUUACCUGGCGCUGUGAAGAAGACCAAGGUUGAGUGACACCUGAGAUGUUGAAGCUCUGCCCCCUCCUCUCAUUGGCCUGUUUGUCUGUGACUCACAAGUCUUUGAAUAAAAUCAGACUGACGAGAAACAA